UCCCCAGCCAAUCAGGUAAUAAGCCAAUCAGGUUUCCCCAGCCAAUCAGGUAAUAAGCCAAUCAGGUUUCCCCAGCCAAUCAGGUAAUAAGCCAAUCAGGUUUCCCCAGCCAAUCAGGUAAUAAGCCAAUCAGGUUUCCCCAGCCAAUCAGGUAAUAAGCCAAUCAGGUUUCCCCAGCCAAUCAGGUAAUAAGCCAAUCAGGUUUCCCCAGCCAAUCAGGUAAUAAGCCAAUCAGGUUUCCCCAGCCAAUCAGGUAAUAAGCCAAUCAGGUUUCCCCAGCCAAUCAGGUAAUAAGCCAAUCAGGUUUCCCCAGCCAACCAGGUAAUAAGCCAAUCAGGUUUCCCCAGCCAACCAGGU